rnacentral:tRNA from 1 species
GGGUCGAUAGCUCAGUUGGUUAGAGCAAGGCGCUCAUAACGCCUGGGUCCACGGUUCGAGUCCGUGUCGACCCACCA